rnacentral:rRNA from 1 species
AUACGGAGGGUGCGAGCGUUAAUCGGAAUUACUGGGCGUAAAGCGUACGUAGGCGGCUUAUUAAGCAAGAUGUGAAAGCCCCGGGCUCAACCUGGGAAUGGCAUUUUGAACUGGUAGGCUCGAGUUCUGAAGAGGGUGGUAGAAUUUCCUGUGUAGCGGUGAAAUGCGUAGAUAUAGGAAGGAAUACCGGUGGCGAAGGCGGCCACCUGGUCAGAGACUGACGCUGAGGUACGAAAGCGUGGGGAGCAAACAGGAUUAGAUACCCUGGUAGUCCACGCCGUAAACGAUGUCAACUAGUUGUUCGUGUCAUUAACGACGUGAGUAACGCAGCUAACGCACUAAGUUGACCGCCUGGGGAGUACGGCCGCAAGGUUAAA